AGAGUUUGAUCCUGGCUCAGAACGAACGCUGGCGGCAGGCUUAACACAUGCAAGUCGAGCGAGACCUUCGGGUCUAGCGGCGGACGGGUGAGUAACGCGUGGGAACGUGCCCUUCUCUACGGAAUAGCCCCGGGAAACUGGGAGUAAUACCGUAUACGCCCUUUGGGGGAAAGAUUUAUCGGAGAAGGAUCGGCCCGCGUUGGAUUAGGUAGUUGGUGGGGUAAUGGCCCACCAAGCCGACGAUCCAUAGCUGGUUUGAGAGGAUGAUCAGCCACACUGGGACUGAGACACGGCCCAGACUCCUACGGGAGGCAGCAGUGGGGAAUCUUAGACAAUGGGGGCAACCCUGAUCUAGCCAUGCCGCGUGAGUGAUGAAGGCCUUAGGGUUGUAAAGCUCUUUCAGCUGGGAAGAUAAUGACGGUACCAGCAGAAGAAGCCCCGGCUAACUCCGUG
rnacentral:rRNA from 1 species